rnacentral:lncRNA from 1 species
GUCAAGUUCGCCGCGAAAAGGCUCACUGUAUCCUGUGCUGCGGCUUCUUCACCUUCUCAACUCGAGAGGCGAGCGCUAAUGUAUAUGGCAGCGACGUCGUUUCUGGUGCCCUUCCCCAAUCCCUCCUUUGCUACUGAGUAAGCUUGAUUAAUGUAGUUCAGUUUAUAUGCUUACAUCGCAUGGAAUAGUAGUUUUUGUUUUUUUAGGGUAUAUGUUUUGUUCAUUGUGAUUGCAGUUAGAUCCUCAAAUUUUGCAACGAGCUGGUGAUAAUUUGUGAGUUUAUUUAUGAGCUUAUUAGGAAUUGUAGAAUGUUAAUGUUGUGUAUCCUUAUUGUACAUUAUUAGACAAAGGAAUUUGGUAGACAGUAGUGCUUUGAGAGUUGAUGAAAUAAUUAGAAUUGUUUCAGCUGCACACACACACAUUUUAAUAGAAAGAAAGAAAAAAAAAAAAAAAGAACAAUUUUAGUUAGUGAGAAGGCUUAUUGAUGCUGAGGUUUUCAAUUCAGUGAACAUCCCUGUUGCAAGAAGAGAUCAGGAAGGUAUUAACCAAGACUAAGGCUCCUGGUUUCCUUCGUUUAGUUUUUCAUGAUGCUGGAACUUUCGACGAGGGUGAUAAAACAGGU